UACGGAGGGUGCAAGCGUUAUCCGGAUUCACUGGGUUUAAAGGGUGCGUAGGUGGAAUGGUAAGUCAGUGGUGAAAUCUCCAAGCUUAACUUGGAACUGCCGUUGAUACUAUCAUUCUUGAAUAUCGUGGAGGUAAGCGGAAUAUGUCAUGUAGCGGUGAAAUGCUUAGAUAUGACAUAGAACACCGAUUGCGAAGGCAGCUUGCUACACGAUCAUUGACACUGAGGCACGAAAGCGUGGGGAUCAAACAGGA
rnacentral:rRNA from 1 species